GCAGUACAGAUACAGGCUUGGCCCCAGAGGUCCCAGGUUCCUCCCCAGGCAGCAGCACUGCCAACUGUUCGAUUCCAAACAAUCUAUAGCCCAUCCCUGGAAUCUUUAAAGUGGAAAAUCUCAACCCCCAAAUCCCCCUAGCUCCAAGCCCCAAGUUCCCUCUCUCCCCAGCCACCGACAGCAUCAAGCCUAGCCAGCGCAAUUACUGUGCUCUGGCUGAAACAAUAACAACUGGACAAGUUCCAACAGCAGUUCUCCCCCUUUCUCCUCCCUCCCCCGAGAUCCGGUAAACUUACACUAGUGAUCCGACACCUGGCAACACUGCUUCGCACCCAUUUCGAGCCAUGCGUGGAAUAAUUUACAUCACGGAAUGCCGGGGCCAAGAGUUCUGGAGCAGUUGGAAAGGGCAGUUGUGAACGGCAGUUGGACGGAGGAAUGAAAUCCUGAAGAGAUGCCCAGAAGAGGGACACGCCCGAAGAAGGCAGAAGGGAUAAUUUCUACUCAAUGUUUUUUCUUGGUUAAAACUGUCAUCUCCUCUCCAGUUCCCCCAAACUCCCCAUCCUAUCAGUCACAAGGCCAAACAAGUAUAAAACUGGCUCCUGCCCCAUGGAAGGAAACUUGCUUCCCCCAGGAAAGGUCUGGAAGGGAAGGGGAAGAAUACAGAUGCUGAGAUUAAGUGUGAUGCGCAUGACCAGAUAUGCCCCCAUCACAGAAGUGCCAAGAUACACCAAAUGAUUUAGUAAAUGCUGUAUAAGGUUUGUGCCAGUACUGGUUCAGAUGAGCCCUUGGGAGGAGGAGAAAAGGGACGCUGUCUAUUCAUCUUGGCAGCCUGAGGGUGUCGCUGGCUCAGUGCAGGGCACAGCAAGUGCUUCAUAAAUUGACACUGGAUUCAUAACCAGCAUUAGGGGUGCAAUGAUGAAAAUCAUUCCAGAAAGUGAAGGGAUUGAAGGGAAGAGGAGCCAGGAACAAAGAUGGAAGAUAGGGGCUGCUCCUGUCCUGCUUCCCAGACCCAACUGGAGCCUUUGCAUGGACAGCACGUGCCUUCACGUGGUCAUCUUCAUGGUCAGAAAAGUCAGCAACUAAGUUAGAAAAUGUGCCUAAGGUUAGAUACUUGACAAGCAGAGCCUUUUAAUGAAUGCUUUAUAUCCACUCUAUUGUCAGCGUUUGCUGAAAGAUGACACCUCCUCUUGGAAUGGAGCUACUAGAAAACAGGGCCUGGAUCUGUUUAUUUGUCUGGUGUAUCCCAUCCACACAGGGUCUCUGAUAAACUCCACAGAAUGGCAAAAGGCCUUAUUCCUGGCUGUCUAGCCAUAUCCAAAGACUGCUGUGCUGAAAUGCUUUCAUUUCCUAAAGCAUACUAAUACACAUCACUAUGACAUUAGAAGAUGAAAUGACUACAACAAAUAUUUAACAUCAGUAUGGAGAUACGACCAGCAAAAUGAAGACUGGGAUAUGCUACUGAACAAGACAAGACAAUCGGGUUUAAAAAAAAAAAAAAAAUCACCAGAGGUAGG